UACAUUUUUCAGCCACGGUGUUCUGGAGCUAAAAAGUAUAUCACAUUUCAGUAUACUUUUUACUAAAAAGUGUACUGAAAUGUGAUAUACUUUUUAGCUCCAGAACGCCGUGGCUGAAAAAUGUAU